UCAACCUUAAGAAGAACUCAGAAAGCUCUACAAAGUAAAACAUGGCGUCCUUUGAUUGGCUGCAAUUCAAAACCCCAAACCACCACUUGCCCAACACCAAGAAUCUACAACACCACCGAGUAUUUGAAAAUCAAAUCCUUUUUUUUUUUCUUUUUAAUCUUUUCACACGCAAAGCCAUAGAUAUAAUUAAUUAAAACUUUUUUUUAAGAAUAUACUUUUAUAAUAAUAUU
rnacentral:misc_RNA from 1 species